GCAGAAGGAUCAUUAGUGAAGAUUUGGGCAGGCCAUACGGACGCCAAAAAGUGUCCCUGGCCGCCUACACCCACUAUACAUCCACAAACCCGUGUGCACUGUCUUGGAGAAAGGCUUCAGAGAAGUUUUUUGUGGCCUCUCUUGGGGUCUUUCUUCGCUACAAACUCGAAUGGUUAGUAUGAACGUGGAACUUGGUUGGACCGUCACUGGCCAACAGACUAUACACAACUUUCGACAACGGAUCUCUUGGUUCUCCCAU
rnacentral:misc_RNA from 1 species